UCACUGACGUCGUGCACAGUCUUGGCAAAGCAGGCCCUGAGAGUUUUGAUGCCCUUCGCCACGAGGCUGGUUUCUCUGCUGUGGCAGCAGUUAAAACUAAACCUCAGCAAAGACUGGAUGCUGUUGAGAAGGAAUUGAGGCGCCAAACUUUGAAGAGCUUUGUGCCCAGAUGCAAGCCCACCCGUCGCAUUAAGAUGGGCUGAGCGACUUUUGCACUAGACUUAAAAAGUUCAAGAUGGAUCCUCUUUUCAUUUAUUUUAUGUUUGAGCCGCUCUUUGUUACUUAAUCAUGUUGUGGAUCGUGUGUAGGCUCAUUUCAUUGUCGCAUGUGAAAAGUUUGCGGUUGAUCCUCGUUUUUAUUUAUUUGAUCUAUUUCGGAACCUAUUCUUUUUAAUGUUGUGGAUCGUUUGUAAUUCAUUGCAGUUUAAUUCAAUGUACUGUCAUUCUAAUUUCCAUAACCGUUGUGUUAUGAUGAUGAUGAUGAUGAUGCUAUAGGUCCAUCGGUCAUUUAACAGGCCGAGCCCAUUGCUGCAAUGCUUUUUGUUCCUGAGCCUGUGUUGAUGUUGUUAUUGUCAUGCGUGUUCUGGUUAUUUGCGCAUGUUUAAACACGAGUCUUUAUAUGACGAUAAAAUAAAGUUUUGUUGCG